CACGAGGGCCGCCUGUCACACCGCCGGCACCGCCCCUCGAGGACGGAGGAAAACACCCGAGGGACGCGAGCGCGCACAAGAUGGCCGCGCUGGCAGGCAGCCAAGUCCCAGGCGGGGCAGCGGCCGCCUCCGCCAUUAGCCCCCCUCCCCUCUGGUAUCCCCUCAUGUCGAGCUGGGGGUACCGCGCGCGACGCUGGGGUGGCAGCCGCAUCUCCACGACCGCGGUCCCGGCGGCCCCCAGACGGCGGACGGCUCUCACCGAGACCGGACCGGCUCCGGCCUCACGAGGCCCGUAUCCCAGCACGGCGUCUUCGUACCGGGAUACCGUACCGGAUCAUCCCAGCGCCACGACGAUCUGCCCCUCUCUUCGGGAGCCACGGGCCGGGCCUGCGGCACCGCCGGCUGCCUCUGCGCAGCGACGGACGGUGUUCCAGUGCCCCCACGUCCCCAGAACCGAGCGUUACCUUUCCCCUUUGCCGCUCGCGGAGGUGUUCCCGAACGGGAUUCCGAUGCCCCCUCCCUAGUCCCCGCCGCGACGAAGAAGCCGAGACGGCCGUCUCCAUCUCAGAAAAAAAAAAAAAAAAAAAAAAAAAAAAAAAGACAAAACGAUUUUUACCUCAGGAAUUGACGCCAAACGUGGCCCGGCGGCGCCCCUGACCCGGGCCCGGGCGGGCCGGCGUUGGUGGCGGUGCCCAAAGGCGGCCCAAACCCCCCCUACGAGGGGCGGUGGCAGUGGGAGCUUAACGGGGUCCACGGAGGGAUACAGGGGGUGGAACUGUGUUAUGGGGCGGGGGGAGCGUGUGCGCGUGUGGGGGAGGGAAAGGGGUUCUGUGUUGUUUUUCAGGGCCUUGUGAAAGGUCAGAGUUCGUGACCCCGACCGCCGCCACCGACCGAGUGCGUCCCGACGCUUCCUCUUCCCGGCACCAUGCCGCCCUCGGGCCCCUCCAUCCCAUCGCGGGGCGGGGCCGAGGAUGGCGGCGGGGAGGGGCGGGGCUACCUGAGCCCCUGCGAGCCAGCGCUCCGCCGAGCAGAGCCAGGCCGCAGCCCGCGCGGUGGCGGCAGGACGAGCAGACCCAGCACCUGCGCGGCAGGUGGCGCUCGUCCCUGGGAGUGCCGGUGCGUUGUACUGAGGUGCUAAGUCACAAAAGAUGAGUAAUGGAUAUUGUGGAAGACAGAAGAGAAGGCACUGCUUGAACACCUGGAUGAAGUUGGAGGGAAGCUCACACUUAGUGGCCGCUCUGUAAGAUUAAGAAAAUUCAGAAGAGAAGGAAGAAAUGGAUGAAUUGCUGUAUGUCAUACAAGGGGCCCUCGCUGAAAACUGCUGCUUCAAUCAGCAGAGAGCUGAAGGCAUGCUUUCAGAGGGACUGCCACAAGGUAGUGCACAAAGUUAUCAGCUGAUUUACAGAGAAAUGGACAUCAGGAACUAAAACCCAGCUCCUGACCUUCAAGGAUAGAAAUCCUGUCCAAGUAAGCCCAAAGACUGCCUUCAUAAACAUUACUAGAAGGGUUUGUUCUGUUGCUUCUAAUCAGAUCUCUUAAGGCCUCAGAGGAGAAUUUUCAAGUAUAAGGCUCAGCCACUGAAAGCAUGGACCUUGGUGCUUCCAUUUUGCUGCGCACAUUGGAAACCCACAUUCCUUCGCAGAAUUGUGGCCCAGUCAAAGCUGUACAGAGUUGUGGCAAAAACAGAAGGCUGCACGGCCCUUAUUCCUUUGCAGGGCCAACCGGGAUAUGUGAAAGGCCUGCAGACUUUUACAUCCUGAUAGCAACCGAAGCCCACUCAACACAUCACAGUUGGUAAUUAAAUGAUUUAGAGCUGGAGAAGAUAUGAAAGAGACAGUAAAAACAGAAAAAUCCUACCAAGAACAAGUGCCGAGGGUGCCUGCUUUUCCCAGAGACUUUCAUCAGCGUUCCCUCUUUCACAAAGACCUAGAAGGAAAAAGAAGAUCUGAUCCUGAGACUGCAUUCUGAAGCUUAUUGAGGAAAAAAAGAAACAUACUUCCAAGAGAAAAUGGUACUCAACUGCUUCCAUCAGCACAGUAAGGAAUGGAUAUGUCAACACAUGCCUCAAGCCCUCCUCAUGAUUUGCCUUAGCCUAGCCCUGACGCUCUUUAUGGCUUGCAUUUGUAUCAACAAUAAUUAAUUUAGAAAUUCCCCUGUCCUCGCAAGCUGCUCUGCACAGCUAAAAUUUAAUGGGCUUCAAAAGAAGAAUGCAUUCCCUAAUUAAGAAAAUUAAAUGAAAUAAAAUAUUGAGAUCUAUCCACAUAACUAAGCCUGCAUGCAUACAUGUGCUUGGAAACAUGUACAAUACUUUGUCCGUAUUAUUAUGUGUGUAAAUAGGAAUGUAUAUGUAACCAGCUAAAACACAUACUACACGGACUGAAAGCAAAUUUCGGGUUGAAUAUCUCAAUCUUCUAAAGUUUAGAACAGUUUGGACCUAAGAAAACUGGCAAGACUGGAAACAGAAGAGGAAAAAUUUAUAUUUGGUGCUUCAGUUUUGCUCUUUCCUGUGUUUCUGUUCAUAUAUUUGUAAUGCAACAGAAAGUGCAGCAACGACAGCAGAGCAACAAGGUCCUAGACUGCAACAAGAGAUGAUUUGCUCAUACACAGCAGCCAUGGACACAGGAGUAAAGGAAAGAAGCUACUUACCUUUGGAAGACCUCAGGCAUGAAGAGAUCUCCAGUGAGAUACCCUUGCCUCCACUGCCAGCCCUUAAAUGAGGUCUGGCAAGGGAUGAAGACAAGAUCCACCCUUUCUAGCCACUCAGGUACACUGCACGCACCUGAGCUCCCCUGGACUGGUCCUGCCUUCCUACCAGGUGCUCAAUCACUGUUUCAAGCUGCGAGUUGUAUUUUCAUUACAAACGUUGCUUAAAAGUGAUGUCUUACAUUAAAAGCACACUAGAGAACAGUAAGUGAAAAUUUGGAAGUAUGCAAUUCCCCUGAUUAGAGGAAUCUUACCUAGUCAAAUAAAGUUCUAUCUAAGCCUUCA